AACGAACGCUGGCGGCAGGCUUAACACUUGCAAGUCGAACGCCCCGCAAGGGGAGUGGCAGACGGGUGAGUAACGCGUGGGAGCAUACCCUUUUCUACGGAAUAGCUCUGGGAAACUGGAAUUAAUACCGUAUACGCCCUACGGGGGAAAGAUUUAUCGGGGAAGGAUUGGCCCGCGUUGGAUUAGCUAGUUGGUGGGGUAAAGGCCUACCAAGGCGACGAUCCAUAGCUGGUCUGAGAGGAUGAUCAGCCACACUGGGACUGAGACACGGCCCAAACUCAUACGGGGAGCAGCAGUGGGGAAUAUUGGACAAUGGGCGCAAGCCUGAUCCAGCCAUGCCGCGUGAGUGAUGAAGGCCUUAGGGUUGUAAAGCUCUUUCACCGAUGAAGAUAAUGACGGUAGUCGGAGAAGAAGCCCCGGCUAACUUCGUGCCAGCCGCCGCAGUAAUAC
rnacentral:rRNA from 1 species